rnacentral:lncRNA from 1 species
UUUUUUUUUAAGUCCAGAGCUAACCAGCCAAGGGCUGAUGCUCUGUCAGUCUUGCUGUUCUGCCUGCCUUUACAUUUCAAAAGGACUACUGCACAUCCAGGUAUCACAUAGCCCUUUAAGAUAGGAAUGAGGGGAAAGAGCAAAAGGCACAUUCUAUUGAAGUUUUGUCUCUUUUGAAGUGCUUUUCAAGAAGGUCCAUCUAGGAACUCCUUACUUUUAACCGGCCAGUAUUGUUUCAGAUCACCACUCCUAACUACAAGGGACUAAGGGGAGGUCUUUUACCUGGGCACCCUACUGCCCCAGACAAAAUCAGCACUUUGUGAAAGGAAAGGGGAAUAGGUUUUGGGUAGGCAACUAGCAUGCCUGCCAUGACUUUCUCCCCCCAAAAGCAAAUAUUUGAGGUGCUCUUGAUAAUUAUCAAGUACUUGCUCUAACACUGAUUUCUUGAUUCCUUGUCUGGCCGGUUACUCCAACAAUUACUCAGUAUCACUAAUGAUCUGGACAAAAGGUCUGAGUGCCCUAUUGAAUUCUAAAAAAGUUUGUAAAACAAUGUUAGCCUAACAAAGUAGUCAAGAAAUAAUGGGCUCCAUGGUUUCUCUUUUACAUGGUAAUUAAUAUUUAAUUACACCUCAGUUACAAUUCUAGGUGAAAUGUUUGAAAUACCUCAUUUGAAAACUUUUCCACUUUUACCUAAGGGAGGUAUGGAGAGAUGUUCUUGGACACAAGCUGGUGUGGCCUAGGCUGACCAGCUCUAGCGCUUGUCAGCCCAAACAGGAUAUGACACUGUUAUGGUGACUGCAAACUUGGAACCUUUGCCCUUCCUGAGCUGGAAAACUGUUUUCUCAAUACAGGUUAGCCAUCAGGGCAUGCAGCAGCCCCUUCUUAGGAAGUACCAGUAAAUGAAAAUAAAUAAUUGAAGCAAAGAGUGGUUCUUUUCUAUUUUGUCAAAGUAUUAGUAGUUGAGGGUCAAAGUUGUUUCUACAACUGGCCAUCCAAACUGGUCAUGCCUCUAGAAUGUAUCAGAGGCAAAUGCUGGUAGUUAAGAGUGUCAAAGAGAACCAUAUGUCCUUCAUUAUUAAAUCACUCACAUAUUUACUUAAUGGUUGUGCCAUUCUUUCCCACCUCUGGGUCCUGGCUCAUAUGACAUCUUCUACUUGGAGCACUCUCCUCAGCCACUUUUGCAUGACUCCUGUUCACUUUGCGUGUUUCAGCAUGGAGGAUCUGUUUGUUCAUUACUGUAAAUGUAGGAGGUAUGAUUAAUAUUGAGCGUAUUUGUGGGUGUCAAUGAUUGAUUUUCUUACUGUUGCAUCUUUUUUUCCCUUUCCUUCUCUUCAGACUUUUUUUUUUUUUUUUAAAUAUGCA